rnacentral:rRNA from 1 species
CCUACGGGUGGCAGCAGUAGGGAAUAUUGCUCAAUGGGGGAAACCCUGAAGCAGCAACGCCGCGUGGAGGAUGAAGGUUCUCGGAUUGUAAACCCUCUUUGUUAGAGAAGAUAAUGACGGUAUCUAACGAAUAAGCACCGGCUAACUCCGUGCCAGCAGCCGCGGUAACACGCAGGGUGCAAGCGUUACUCGGAAUCACUGGGCGUAAAGAGCGCGUAGGCGGGUUAGCAAGUCAGAUGUGAAAUCCUAUGGCUUAACCAUAGAACUGCAUUUGAAACUGGUAUUCUAGAGUAUGGGAGAGGUAGGUGGAAUGCGUGGUGUAGGGGUAAAAUCCGUAGAGAUCAAGAAGAAUACUCAUUGCGAAGGCGGCCUACUAGAACAUAACUGACGCUGAUGCGCGAAAGCGUGGGGAGCAAACAGGAUUAGAUACCCCGGUAGUC